UUUUUGAGACCGAGAACUAUGGCUUGCAAGAGCAUUGUUUGACAAAAAGGUGGCCUUUAGGAUUCACCAAAGACAAACAAUACAGCUCAUUGUGAUAAAAGUUUUUUUUCCCAUUUUCGAGAAACCAUCUGUCUCGUGAUGAGGGAGUUAUGGAAAUCGAUAUCAUUGUUAAAACCUCUGGUGGAAGUAUACAAUGACAAUAGGGUUGAAAUGAUUGCCAUCAUACUAUACAUAGUACAUAGGGUUAUUAAUUCUACUACUCAUUUGAAAAGUUGUUGCUAGGCUAAUUGCCCUGAUCGUGUUUUUCUUCAUUGAGCUUGGCAGAGAACGGUGUAAAAGAACGACAAAAUGGCUCGCAAAAUCAUCCAAGAUCUCCAAAAUGUUACUACACAAGCUUCAAUUUCUUC
rnacentral:lncRNA from 1 species